ACUCUCAAAAAUUUCGCAACCCUCUCCCUCACUCUCGUCACUCUCGUCACUCUCCAGCGCUCAUACUAACCUCGCGAUACUACUCCCAAUCUCACUCUAAACGCAAAACCAUGGUUUUAAAGAGAAUCAAAUAAAAAGGCUCACCUUCGGCAGUGGUUCGGUAGUGACGGGUUUUUCGUCCUCCUGGUCCGCCUCCGCUUCCCUCCUUUUAUAUCAACAACUUAGGGUUUUUUGAGCUGUCUCAAGGAAAUCCAAAAGGGCAUCUUCUGUAUUGCUUUAAGGCGCUCAGACUUUGGUCUGCCUUAUUUGGCGCUCGACAUGAAAACGUGAAGAUUGGUGAAAAUAGAAGCUCCAAUUAUCACAGGGGUUCUGGAUAGUGAUUUUGGGUUGAAAUUUCUUCAGUGGAAGCAUCGUGAUUUCCUGAU